rnacentral:ncRNA from 1 species
UAAAUGUAAGCGCCUGGAAAUAGAAAUACUAUGUUGACGAGGUAGAAACUUAUCGAAAGAUUCGGCGGGUGGUUUCUUGGCAUUUGAUUACUGCCAUAAAUAUUAGUUAAAGCCUGAUAGUAAUAUCAGUAUACAAAGCUAAUAGGGU